rnacentral:misc_RNA from 1 species
CUGUUUCUAUCGUUCGUUUUUUCUUUGUUUUAACACAAACGGUCCUCAAGUGGGUUUGCGCUGCUCUUUAUUUACAUCAAUGGAAACCAUUUAGAUAAGAACGGAAAUAUUGCAGAAAAAAUCUGAAGAAGGCGAUCCUUUGAUACGAGAGUUGUGUGUUUGAUCAUGGCGGUUGCUGAGAAUGCUGGGGUAAAAAACGGCACUUCCGGUCAAAAUUUUGA